AUCGCUUCUCGGCCUUUUGGCUAAGAUCAAGUGUAGUCCUUUAGCCUACUUUUAAUAGUGUAACUGCCUGACAUCUAUUAGCUUGCUACUGAUUUCAUUCAUAUCAGUGACAAAUGAAUACAUCCU
rnacentral:snRNA from 1 species